rnacentral:rRNA from 1 species
GACCAAGGAGUCUAACACGUGCGCGAGUCGGUGGGACUUGCGUAGGCCCACGGGCGCAGCGAAAGCAAUCUUCCACGAUUCUUGUYGUGCGUCGAGAUUCCUCUCCCCACCCCUCGGGCGAGGACGCAUCGACGGCCCGCCCGAGACCCCCGACAGCUCGGGCGGCGUCGGAGCGCACACGUUGGGACCCGAAAGAUGGUGAACUAUGCCCGGGCAGGACGAAGCCGGAGGAAACUCCGGUGGAGGUCCGAAGCGGUUCUGACGUGCAAAUCGAUCGCCAGACCCGGGUAUAGGGGCGAAAGACUAAUCGAACCGUCUAGUAGCUGGUUCCCUCCGAAGUUUCCCUCAGGAUAGCUGGCACUCGAGGGACCGACCAGUCUCGCCCGGUCGAGCGAAUGAUUAGAGGCCCUUGGGGCCGAAACGACCUCAACCUAUUCUCAAACUUCCAACGGGCGAGAACCCCCGCUUACCAGACGGAAGCGUGGGGACGGGAGAGAACGUUCCGUUCUUCUUCCUUC